rnacentral:rRNA from 1 species
UACGGAGGGUGCAAGCGUUGUCCGGAAUCACUGGGCGUAAAGGGCGCGUAGGCGGCUCAUGAAGGCUGUGGUGAAAGUCCGGGGCUCAACCUCGGAUCGGCCGUGGCGACUCGUGGGCUGGAGUACUGUAGAGGCGGGUGGAAUUCCGGGUGUAGCGGUGGAAUGCGUAGAGAUCCGGAAGAACACCAGUGGCGAAGGCGGCCCGCUGGGCAGUGGCUGACGCUGAGGCGCGACAGCGUGGGGAGCAAACAGG